ensembl:lncRNA
CUGUUGGUGAGCUGCAUUACUACCCAGAUUUGUAGCAGGAUGAUUUCUGGGCUUCAAACCUAUUACAUGGAGACACCUGGAGAACUGAGAAUCAUGGAAUCCUCAGAGUUGGAAGGGUCCUCCGAGGGUCAUCCAGUCCAACUCCCCUGCAAUGAACUGGGACAUUCACAACUUUUCAUUUAAAUCACAUACAGUGCCAGUAGCGUCAAGUAACAGAAAUAUCAUAUAAAGUAUUUGUUAUGACUACUUUUAGGCCCUACAAGCUUGUCCCCUCUUCAAUGCAUUCUAAGCUUUCAGUUAUCUGGAAUAAACUUACUAAUAAUACAAUUUUAUUUAUUUAUUUGUUUAUUUAUUUAUCGACAUAUUUGUAUUCAUAGCAGCUAAAACCAGGGUUGAAUUUGGAAGAAAAUAAAAGUUACAGAAAACUAAAAAUAUC